UACGAAGGGGGGCUAGCGUUGCUCGGAAUGACUGGGCGUAAAGGGCGCGUAGGCGGUUUGUACAGUCAGAUGUGAAAUUCCCCGGGCUCAACCUGGGGGGCUGCAUUUGAUACGUAUGGACUUGAGUGGGGAAGAGGGUCGUGGAAUUCCCAGUGUAGAGGUGAAAUUCGUAGAUAUUGGGAAGAACACCGGUGGCGAAGGCGGCGACCUGGUCCUUGACUGACGCUGAGGCGCGAAAGCGUGGGGAGCAAAUAGG
rnacentral:rRNA from 1 species